GACGAACGCUGGCGGCGUGCUUAACACAUGCAAGUCGAACGGUGAAGCGCCUUCCUUUUUGGUGGGUGUGGAUGAGUGGCGAACGGGUGAGUAACACGUGAGUAACCUGCCCCCUUCUUCUGGAUAACCGCAUGAAAGUGUGGCUAAUACGGGAUAUUCUGGGUCUGUCGCAUGAUGGGUCUGGGAAAGAUAUUGUUUCGGUGGGGGAUGGGCUCGCGGCCUAUCAGCUUGUUGGUGGGGUGAUGGCCUACCAAGGCGGUGACGGGUAGCCGGCCUGAGAGGGUGGACGGUCACACUGGGACUGAGACACGGCCCAGACUCCUACGGGAGGCAGCAGUGGGGAAUAGUGCACAAUGGGCGCAAGCCUGAUGCAGCGACGCCGCGUGAGGGGUGGAGGCCUUCGGGUUGUGAACCUCUUUCGCCAGUGAAGCAGGCCUGCCUCGUUUGUGGGUGGGUUGACGGUAGCUGGAGAAGAAGCGCCGGCUAACUACGUG
rnacentral:rRNA from 1 species